GCUACUCUGGGCUGGGCCUCAAAUCUAGAGUUUUCUUUCUCAUGUGUUGGUGCUUUUCACCCUCAGGGCAAGUCAGGAUUCUUACUCCAAGGGGCAUAUAUCUGUGCCAAACAGGCGAUGAAUGACUCUAGGCUCUGCUUACAACCCCUGGGCUCCGGGUUUCUGGACAGAACGUGUGCGACACUCAGUCCAGACAUGAAGGUGAUUUAGUGUGGUAGGACCACAGAAAAACCAGACGACCGUUCCUGUGUGGACCCACCUGGUCUCACUUCUGGACACAGACAAGUUCCUGAAAAGACAUGGGGAUAAAGCAUCUGUGGCCUGAGACAAAAAGCCUAAAGAUGAGUAUCUUCACUGGCUCUGUGGAGCUCGUGCCAGCAGCUGCAUCCGAGGCCAGAGCUCCCCAGCCAGACAUCUUGGUCUCGAAGGACUUUGCUCUUCAACACCCUUGUAUCGAGCCUCUCCUACGGGACAGGCCGACCAGCCUGGUCCCUGCUCCACCUGGGGAGGAGGCCGCUCUUUGGCCAAGUGAGGAGCUCCUGGCAUGGCACCCAGCAAAGGGCAGAUGAUGGUAACAGUAACGCCUGCCUCCUUUACAAGGUGGUAGGGAGAUUGGCGCAUUUGUCAUCAACGUUAGACACUCUCCAUGUGCUGUUUUGCCAACAUUCUUUCAUUUUGUCCAUUCAGUGGUCCCGGAGGCUAGAGACGAUUAUGCCCGCUUUACGGAGAAGGAGGCUAAGGAGCAAAUGCACACCUGAGAUCACACCUGAGUCUGCAGACCGCAGAGCAUUUUCACUGUGCUGUUCCAGAUGGAAGGGUAAAGAUGAGGAACACAAUGGUGACAGUAGGGGCCACCCAUGGGACCCAAGGCAGGGGACACAGGCCUUGUGGACUCUGGGUUGAACACCCUGAGGCCUGGUGGGAGGGGGAAGUCAGGGCAGGGUGUGUGUAGUCCUUCCUUUUAGCCGUCAGUGUUUUCAAUGAAUGAGGAAGAGAGAAGACAAUGUUAAAAGGACUCUCCCCACUUGCCACAUGCACACACAAUUUGUUAGGAUGUGAUUUGUGUGUGUGAUUUGAUAAUGGGGUCAAGAGGCUGCCCUGGCCACAGACUCUGCCUGCCCACCCCCUCCCCGGCUCCCCCUGCCUCCAAGGCUGGGCAUGAGGCUGCUGACUUGGAGCCCCAGAGCUGCCUUGAACCCUUCCCCUCCUCUGCUCAUAAGCUAAGGGUUUAUCUCAUCUGCCCCAACAGCAAAGCCUGUUUGGGAAGGUUCUGGCUGCUCCGGCAAGCCUGCUUUCUCCCUUUCCUGGUCUGUUCCUGUCUCGGUCUCUCCUUUUUCUGCCUUCCUUCCCUCUUUGCCCUGUCUCUCCUUGUCUCUGUUUUGGAAGGAAUUCUCAGAAGACGCACGCACAUCCUCAUGGUCUUGAUUUCUUGUCCCCACUGUCCCUUUUCCUGCAUGCUUUUUGUUAGGUUCUUAACUCCUGGUGUUUUCAUCCUGUAUGUGUGACAUGGGGAGGAGAAGAGGACAGGGCAUAUUAGAAGGACUAGGCCGUGGGUGACCACUUUGUUAAAUGGAAGUGACAAUGAUGACCAACAUGGGAGAAAAGAGGACUCAGUCUGACUGUCUGCGGGUCCCUUCCUGCAAAGCUCGUCUGGCCGUGUGGGGCAGGGGAGGGGAUCGAAGGCUGGACUGCUACCCUGGCUAUACAUUCAGUGGGGAGGGAGCACCCCGUGGCUACAGGGAAGGUCAAGACCAAUGUCCCUCUCCAGCCGCUUCUGCUCAAGAAAUUCUGGAGUUGGGGAGUUGUCCGUGUUUGUGUAUUAAGGGGAGCCAGAGUUGCUGAAUUUUUUUCCUGGAUUUAUCUGAAGACUUGUACAAAAAAUACCAGUCUGGUUAAUCCCUUUUUAGCCCCCAAGGGCCUGAGGCCAUUUAGAACCUCCUGCUAGUGGUCAGCACUAGGGCGUUAUGGCCAAAGGGCCCUGACUGCUCGUUCUAGGCCUCUGCGUGGACCCCCACCCCUGGCACACAACACGCACGGGGCUGGGUGGUGUCUAGCUACACAGCCCCCCUGUGCGCGUCUCAUCUGGUAUCCUAAUGAGGGAGGUCAACCCUUUCAGGGACAAGCGUGGCCCCUAAGGGUGAACCAAGUGCUACCAGGACAAGGGCAGAACUUUCAAGGUGGGCUCUCCCCUUUCCAAACUCUGCAGGGGCAAAUCGGGAUGAGCAAGGAGGUUCUGCUCACCAUGACAGAGCUCCAGUAUUCCCUUGCUACAACAGGCCUGGCUCAUUCUUUCCCCCAUUCUGGAAAGGACACCCAGGAAGGCCUAUGUCUGGUGAAAUGGUUCAGCGGUCUGGGGAAGGAGCCAGCUUUUGCCAGGCCUUCACCUUGAACCUAAUCCAGGCCUCAGUGCCGUGGAGUCACGAGAAGCCCAGCCCGGAGCUGGCAGAACCUUCCUGUGGCCAGGACUGACUGCUGAAUUAGCAUGCCCCCCUUUAAGCGCCGGGCCAGGGAGAGCCACAGAAGCAGAAGAGGUGUGAGGGGGCCUGCGAGGGAAGGAAACAUCACUGACGGAAGGUGCCUAGAGGGAGGGGCUAGUGGUCACAACGAGCCACGAGCCACGGUUUCACACGGUGUCAUCGAAGAUCCACAUUCUACAGAUGUGAAAACUGAAGGCCGGGGAGGCGACUCACCCAGUCACACAGUUAAGAAGGGACAGGAUGGAACCUGUGUCUGACCCCCUCGUCAUCCUCCACACCACACAUACCUGGCAUGUGGCAGGUGCUUAAUGCACAUGGUCGGCAAAUAUGAGUGAAUGAACAGACGGACGAACGAAAGAACUGACCAACUGCCCAUGCUCGAAGUGGGCCUUGAGGGAUGACUGGGCUACAGGGGCGGAGAGGACCAGCAAGUGCAUUCCAGGCUGGGCAGAUGAGAUGAGCACGUGGGGCUGUGCCAGGCUGGGGGAAGAGAGCUGGCUGGAGCAGCAGGUGGGUGAUGCCUCAGUGGGGUCCUGGGAGGGGUCCUCCCCCCAGCCAACCUCCCAGGUCGUGGCUUCACUGGGCUCGCUGGGGAGGAAAUGGGUCUGUUCGGGGUGGGGGGAUGCUCAUGCUCACCUAGUACCUUUCCCCUGAAAUUAAACCCUUAGCCACGUGGCCAAGGGAGGCUCGCACCUACAGAAGAAGCUAAGAACGGGGACAACUACCUAGCCAAAAUUUGGGAGCAUUGGCUGUCAGCAUCGUCCCCACCAUCCGCACCACCUUCAUCACUGACAUGGUCUCUGGCACCAUGGUCAUCACCAUGCCACCACGAAAUUCGGUGGUGAAGACUUCGGCCGGGGAAGCUUACUGGGUCUCUAGCCCAGUGCCGUCACGCACUAACCGGAUGAGCUUGGGCACACUUUACAAUCUGUCUAUGCCUCACGUUCCUCAUAAAAGGUCAUGCAUAUGAAGUUCUUAGCAUCCUGUUUGGCGCAUGGUGUCAGGAUAAGUGAGCUCUUGUUAUCACUGUUACUAUUUUUAUCGUAAUGAGCCUUCCAAGUGGAGAUGUUGUGGGUCAUUACCGUAGCACCUGAUUUAGAGUGUGGGAAUGAGACUGACUCCUCCCCACUUUUCAGGCAAGGAAAAGGUUAAGACCUAAGAAGCAAACACACUUGUCCAGAUGGCCCAGCUCCGGAACCUGGGCAGCCAGUGGGUGGGAAGCAACGUUCUGCCCCUCCCCGUGUGCCUGCCUCUUUCAUUCCUCCCCUCGGGCAGAGACCCCCAGCCUUUCCCUCUGGGUGCAGGCUCGGCUGAAAUGUACUCCAAAUUGUCCAUUAAAACACACUGCCACUUUAUGGUUUGUUCGUUUGCUCCUAAAGACGUGAAACGCAAGCUUAUCAAACAAAAAUCACACUUCGCCAUGCCACCUUGAGUGGUAAAUUCCAUCAUUAUUUGCGCCCUCCGGCCCCCACAAAGAACACUGAGUUCCCACCGGAGCUGGUGACGUGCUCCAAAGAUUGACCUUUGGCACCCCUCACCCCUUCAGCCAUGGGCCCAGUCACAAGGCAGGCGAGGUGGGGGCCAGACAGGUGGGGAAGAGCCCAGAGAUCCUGUCUACCAGCGGGGCACCUUGGGUAAGUUUUUAAACUUCUCUGAGUGUUAAUAUCCUCAUCUGUACAAUGAACUUAAUGAUAGGAGCGUCCUCACUGGCUUGUGACAAGAAGUAAUCAAAUGAUACGUCAAAGCACUUAACCCCAUGCCUGGCCUCUGAGAAGAGCUCAACAUACUGUAGCCAAUAGAGAGAAGUUGUUGUAUUGUCUUCUGGGCGUUCAAACCACACCUUGGAUGUGGCACAAGCUGGAACUGGCCCAGGUUCUAGACAGACCAGGCUGGAGUCCCGGGAUGGGGUCAGGGUGGCGCAGGGGCAGGGCUGUGGGCAUUCGUCGGGAAAGAAAUUGGCAGUCUGUGACAAAAAGCAGAGCUCUAAGGGAGGUCAGCUCUCAUACUUUUUAUCCAAAACUCUGCUCGGUUGAGAGCUUCAGCCCGAUUGCCUCCGGCACCAGAAGCCCUCUUAGCGGGGAGGGAGAUUCUUUGCUGGGCCUGGAGGUGGGGGCUGGCCCACACAGCAGCUCUGCCCCAGGCUUCGGCCGGGCACUUCGGGGAAGAGAAAGUGUCAGGUAAGAUACAGGCCCUGACCUUUUGGAACUUCUGAUGUGGGGUGGUGGCCAUGAGGCUCGUUCGCUAUGUUUCCAUUACUCCUGCUUCUGAGCACACUAUAGGAUCACUUUCUUCUCUCCACACUUCUCCUCGCCCCCGGGUCCGGUGUGGCCAUGUGACUGCGUCAGCCUAUCAGAUGGGAGGAGUGACAGGCAGCACCUCCAGACGGAUGCUCGGAAGAGCUGAUGCCACACUCCCUUCCUCCCACCGUAACGAUGGCAGCUGGGUGAGGCUCCAUCCGCCUGUGUCUUCGAAUGAAGAUGAUGGGGAGCACAGCCUCCCACACACCACGGUGGGCUUGCUGGCUGGGCCCGGGGCCACGCAGGUCUGAAGGAGCCGGGCACCGACCACGGUGGGGACAGAGGCCAGCCUCCAGGGGCAAGACUAGGUGGCUUCGUGCUGUCUGAUUAAUCAACACAGGGGAGGCACUUUCCCCCUGAUUCUGGGAUCCCUCAGAUGCCACGCCCAGCUGAGCUGUGAAGACCCGGACCAAGCACAAUACAAUACCAUUUGUUACCUGUUCUACAUGCUGAUUCCGAUCCACCUCUUACCCCAUCCUCCACACACACACACACACACACACACACACACACACAGCCCAGCCAGCGACCCCUUCUCCUGUCUCUGACCUUGCUGAGCCCUUCGGAUUUGCCCUACCUGAUCAAUUACACUCUCCCCAGGCCCAGAGCCCCAGCAACACCUUGCAGGGGCCUUGGCCCUGGGCCCUCCAGCCCAUGCUGUCUGUCCUCCCACUCACCCUGAAUUUGGCAGGAAGCACGAAUACCAGUGCCAACGCAAUAUGACAAGGGGAACCAGAAAUGAGGAUUGAACAUUUGGCAGCUACAACAAAAAUUUAAACAAACAGAAGGUACCUUACUGAGUGUUGUCCUUCAGAACAUUCUUCCGGGGGGUGAUGCGCUUGAUCCCGAGAUGCUGUCCUGGGCCACACGGUUUCUGGAGUCAUCCGUGGGAGUCCUGAGUCAGCUGAUUCAGCAGCAACCAAGCCCUGCCACACACUGGAGUGAAAAAUACAACACUCGAAUCCCCCUGCAGUUUGGGAGACAUGGACCCUGGAGGUGGGUUAUUUUGUAAGAGCCUCGGCCGGGGUUGAGCCUCGGCACCCCCACUUCUGGUGCAGUGUCUGGCCCGUGCUCAAGAGACGUUUCCUAUAGGUCUCGAGGAUGGCAUUGAUCGUCCUGCAUUUCUCCUGGUUAAAGACCCCAUUUCCUCAGAUGUGUUUUGUAAGUCUUUUGUAAGUCUUAAAAAUGUUUCAUUAAAGCAAAUGCUUAAAUACUGA